rnacentral:lncRNA from 1 species
AACUUUUUAGAUUUUUUUUUGUGGAGUGUUGCGCAUUUUUUUCCACAUAAAAGUCAGUUUUGCUUAUGCUUACUAAAAACUUUGUGAAGUUCCGUACAUGUAGUAUAGUGCACAUGCUUAAAGCAGGGCACAAAAGUUUAAAACGAAUUAUAAAUUGUAAUAUCGCAAUUGUUCAAAGCUUUGUUUUUUCGAAAUUGUUAGUUUUAAUUUUUAUGAUCAUUGAUAAGAUUGCAUUGAUAAGUACUGUUUACAGAGACGUUGACCCGUAUGAUGGUUGCCAGAACGUUUGACAUCGGGAUCUGGCCGGUGCCAUGUGCACCCGGGCGUGCAACGUAUGCGGGUUUCUCGGAAACGGCUAUAGCGAUUUUGAUGAAAUUUUGUAUUCAGACAAUGUUUUGCAUUCUAAGGUUAUCUAAAGAGGUGUUAUGCCCGCGAAUGUUCGUAUAAGGUUUCUCGGAAACGGAUCCAACGAUUUUGACGAAAUUUUGUAUGCAGAUAAUAUUUUGCAUUAUAAGGUUAUCAUCAUGGUAUGGGUAUCAAAUCAAAAGUAUUUUAAAAAUCCUUAAUUCAGACAUGUUUUUGAAUAGGGUUGCAACCAUUUUCCAUGUCGUAUUUAUUUAAAUUAUUGUUUAGAAAAUAAAGAAACACAAUUACCCUUCAUCAGCACUAAAAAGCAAACAAUCCUUAAAAAAUGUAUAACGCGUCUAAAGCGAUACGAGCCGUGUGCAGACUGACAUUGCGUGCACGUUCAUUUUGUUUCACUGAAAACAUGUGGUACUCCUGCAAGAAGCCUGACCUAUGAUUAUCGGUUAAAUUAGUGGGAAAACUUCGAUAGCAAUUAGGGAAGACAACGAUUAGUUCGAUUAGUUAGUAAUUCGUAAGGUAAUUGUGUCUGAAUUACUUACAAAUGAGGUAGGUAAUUCGCUCUCAAAAUUUUGUGUGGCGAAUUAAAGCUCAGUUAGUCUAGACUUAACUUAAUUUAACUUUCCGUAAGAAAUCAUCAAUUAUUACUCAACACGUGAAUUUAGGCCAACAGCAGAAAUAUUUUGUUUUUGCAUUUUUUUCAGCUGUUUAUCAGUUCGCUGGCUAAAACGCCAUAUCAACAAAAUUCAUGCAAACAAAAAUGUUUGCUUUCAUUUAUUUUUAAGAAAUAUAAAAACGAGAGUCUGG